rnacentral:rRNA from 1 species
CGGAGGUGCAAGCGUUAUCCGGAUUCACUGGGUUUAAAGGGUGCGUAGGAGGGCAGGGAAGUCAGUGGUGAAAUCUCCGGGCUUAACUCGGAAACUGCCGUUGAUACUCUCUGUCUUGAAUCCCGUGGAGGUGAGCGGAAUAUGUCAUGUAGCGGUGAAAUGCUUAGAUAUGACAUAGAACACCAAUUGCGAAGACAGCUCGCUACACGAAGAUUGACUCUGAGGCACGAAAGCGUGGGAUCAAACAGGAUU